UGAUCAUCUUCUCCAUAUUGUUCUGUCGAUUUUUGCUCUCCUCCAUAGCUGGGGUUUCUUCAACUUUCAAACUUCAUAAUCAAGAGAAACGAGAUUCAAGUCGUGAUCGAGGGAAAAACAAAGUUUACGAGGAAUAGGCUCGAUUGUUAAAAAUUUUGUACCGAGUUUUAACAAGCCGGCUUGAGAAUUGGGAUAGGUCGAAGACUCGUUCACACUAUCCGAAGGCCUAAAUUGGUAAAAUGGCUUGUGUGUUUUGAAUGUGGCAUGUAUGGCAAAAUACUCACUUUGUGUAAAUGAUCUUAUGAUAUGGCUAUGGUUUGGAAAGAAAAGGGUUUGUAAAUGAUUAGCCAUUGGAAUGGCCAAUCUAAGUCAUAUUUGAUGUUAUGUAUGUUUAAAAUGCUAUUUAGUCCAUGAAAAUCCUUAGUAAA